GGGACUUAGAUGUCAGGAAAAGGGAACUGAGUAGCCAUUCGAGGGUGAGAACCAAAGCCACGGGAUCCUCUUGUGUGUGCAGUGACGGUCUGGAAGAGCUCAGGCUAUUCUGCAAGAUGUCCUAAAACGCUGACAAUGUGUGACCGUCCCAUUUCUCAAGGGCAUUCCCUGGAAGGGACCACAGAGUCUGGGGCCAGCUCCGCCUGGGGUCAUGCAGCCACAUCAGCAUGAACUUGAGCAUUAUCUGACCUCAAGUGAUGCCCAGUAGCUGAUUGGGUUGUGGAAGAAAAAUAUUGGAAUAGGUAACUUCAGUUUUUACUUAAAAAUGAAGGAAAUAUUAAAUAUACUAAAUGGACUGAUAGCUUCCCUUGCUUGCACGAGAUGGUGCUUCUCACGCAGAGCCCUAAUGUGUGGUGAAGGCGCAGCGGGCUCUUUCUUAUUUCCCCUUGCCUGUACGACUCAUAGGGGAGAGUGAAUAGCUUGCUUGUUUCUGACUUGAAAUCAAUUCUGCUUCCUGCUCAACUGAAAUUCGGGGCAACGGAGUUGGGCUGUCUGGUAGAUGCCCAUUAUUUACUUGUCAAGUAACAUCACAAGGCAUUGAUAGAUAAAAGAGGAAGCAUUGUCUUUGUGUGAAAAGAAGCCAACUUCUGAUAUUUAAAAACACUAUAAAACUUGACUCUUUUUCUUGUUUUUUUUUUUUUUUUUUUUUUUUUUUUUUUAGAGAAGAACAUUGUCAAACUCAAGAAAAUACAUUCCUUUAGCUUUACAAGAGGCUAAUUCUGUUGUGCUGUUAACCAAAUUUGCCAAUUUUUUUUGUUUCAUUUUUAAAUUGGCCUCUGACUAGGUUUCUCUGUCCUUCUUAGUCAUUGUCCCUCUGUCUGUCUUUUCAUUCUGCUUCUCCCUUCUUAUCAGUCUAGUCUCGGGGCAGUCAAUGUUAGACUCUUGGUAGAUGUGCGUACUUUACGUGAAUGGGUAUGUGCUAUUUUUGCUUGAGCAGCAUUUUCCCCCUUUCUUCUGGGAAUAGCUCCUCUGUAACUUUGGAAGGCCCCUCCUGUUACCAGUAGGGCUGUCAAUCACACAUCCCCCAAACCUCGAUCAGUGUCCUGGUGGUGGGGCUGGGCUCAGACCAGGACUUGGUGGAACACAACCAGAGACGGGAGCCCUCUAUCUGCUGGUAUCUCUCUGGCUGUUAGGACCAGGGAGACUCGGAGCAUUCCAUAGCCAGCUUUGUACUACACGAGGGAGGCUUGCCCAGUCACAAAAUCAAGGAAUGUCCAGGUAAGGGGAGCAGAGGGUGACUCCAUGUGGGAGUCUCUGUCCGUCUCCGCUGGACACUAGCUACACCGCAGGAUUCUCCGUGCCUCCAGUAAUUCGAUUUCCUAGUUUUGCUUAGACUAGCUGGUGACGGUGUGUCUUACGUGCUGCUCCAUUGUGUCUGGGUAAGAUGGCAUCGCAGAGACAAAACCGUAUGAUCUCAUCAGUGCGGCUACAAGAAUGACAAUUUCAUUGUGUUCAAAUAACAGCCGUCAUGUGGUCAGAGACUCUAAAAUCUCAUCCCCUCUCAUUGCUUUGGUCUUCUGAGCACUUGGAGCCUCAGUUUUCUUGAAAAGAGAGGGAGAAGCAUCUACCUGACCUUCUCACACAGAGACUCUGGAAGCCAAUAAAGCAUAAGAGAACAUUUACAAACUGUCGGCCUCUAUAAAAAUGUAACCUGUUGGGACAUACUGGGCGUCUCAGUGGGUUGUGCGUUUGCUCAGGUCAUGAUCCCAGGGUCCUGGAAUCGAAUCCCACAUCAGGCUCCUUGCUCAGCGGGGAGCCUGUUUCUCCCUCUCCCUUUGCCUGCUGCUCCCCCUGCUUAUGCUCUCUU